AGCAUAUCAAUAAGCGGAGGAAAAGAAACCAACAGGGAUUGCCCCAGUAACGGCGAGUGAAGCGGCAACAGCUCAAAUUUGAAAUCUGGCUCCCCCAUCGCGGGGGCCCGAGUUGUAAUUUGCAGAGGAUGCUUUUGGUGAGGCGCCUUCCGAGUUCCCUGGAACGGGACGCCACAGAGGGUGAGAGCCCCGUCUGGUUGGACGCCGAGCCUCUGUAAAGCUCCUUCGACGAGUCGAGUAGUUUGGGAAUGCUGCUCUAAAUGGGAGGUAUAUGUCUUCUAAAGCUAAAUACCGGCCAGAGACCGAUAGCGCACAAGUAGAGUGAUCGAAAGAUGAAAAGCACUUUGAAAAGAGGGUUAAACAGUACGUGAAAUUGUUGAAAGGGAAGCGCUCACGACCAGACCUGGGCCCGGCGGAUCAUCCCGCGUUCUCGCGGGUGCACUCUGCCGGGUUUCCCAGGCCAGCAUCAGCUCGCGCCGGGGGACAAAGGCUGGGGGAAUGUAGCUCCUCCGGGAGUGUUAUAGCCCCCAGCGCAAUGCCCCGGGGCGGGCUGAGGUUCGCGCGUCCCGCAAGGAUGCUGGCGUAAUGGUUGUUAGCGACCCGUCUUGAAACACGGACCAAGGAGUCGUCUUCGUAUGCGAGUGUUUGGGUGUAAAACCCCUACGCGUAAUGAAAGUGAACGUGGGUGAGAGCUUCGGCGCAUCAUCGACCGAUCCUGAUGUUCUCGGAUGGAUUUGAGUAGGAGCAUACGGGGCCGGACCCGAAAGAAGGUGAACUAUGCCUGUAUAGGGUGAAGCCAGAGGAAACUCUGGUGGAGGCUCGCAGCGGUUCUGACGUGCAAAUCGAUCGUCAAAUAUGGGCAUGGGGGCGAAAGACUAAUCGAACCUUCUAGUAGCUGGUUUCCGCCGA
rnacentral:rRNA from 1 species